UACGUAGGGUGCAAGCGUUGUCCGGAAUUAUUGGGCGUAAAGAGCUCGUAGGCGGUCUGUCGCGUCGGAUGUGAAAAUCCAGGGCUCAACCCUGGACCUGCAUUCGAUACGGGCAGACUAGAGUUCGGUAGGGGAGACUGGAAUUCCUGGUGUAGCGGUGAAAUGCGCAGAUAUCAGGAGGAACACCGGUGGCGAAGGCGGGUCUCUGGGCCGAAACUGACUCUGAGGAGCGAAAGCGUGGGGAGCAAACAGG
rnacentral:rRNA from 1 species